AGCACUGUGUGCCGCUGGCUUUAAAUGCGUGCUCUACAGUGUGCUGCAUGGUGUCGUGAGAAUUUCGUUAUUAUCACAACACGUAACAAUUUUAUAAAAGUAGUAUUGUCGCCAACUAUUUUAUUUGAUAUAUCAUCAAACGAUGGCAGCAGAUAACGUUCUGAUUAGAUUUUUUAACACUGUUUUUAAUGUGAUCGACACACCGGCCGCUUACUUCCGAGAAAAAAUCGUUCUGCCAAAUCAGAAAAAAUAUCCAUGGUAUCAUCAGAAAUAUCGCCGCGUGCCCAACAUUGACGAAUGUUACACCCAUGAUAUAGUCUGUUAUACGGAAGCAAAUAUUCAAUUCAAGCGCGAUAAAUUGGUAGAUGAUGAAAUUUUAUACAUUUUGAGAAGUCGCUUUGAAGAAUGUGCUUGGUAUCAUGGUUCGGAUGAUAUGAAUUUAUGCGAUGAUAUACGCAAAACUUAUGAAGACGCAUCUACAGCUUGGUUUAUGAAAUAUGGCGAUAUGGGUGUAACUCUGAAUGUCAAAGAUGCGUAUAUGAAGCAAAAACAUCGUAUGAUUUGGGAACGUCGUCAUGGUCCAGUAGGUAGUGGAAUGAAAGAAGACUAUAAAAAGGCAUAACAACUUGUACUGCUAUUGUAGAAAGUUAUUUAAUGAAAAGUACAUUCACAUAUUGUGAAUAUGUGAAUGAUAAAUUUGCAUCCAGUGUACAGAUAAUAUACGCUUCGCCCCUUUGAACCAUGAAAGAAGGAGGGCGUACUAGGUGGCGACGGGACGCUGUGCGUUCGGGACCUGCAUCUUAUUUUCGUUCCGAAGAGAGAAAAACAUCGAGAGCGCGGUAGUCGCUAGACCGGGAAUCGAGAACCCGUGCCUUUCGCUUGCCGGGCGACUGCUCUAGACUACUGAGCUACCUGACGUUCUACGCUCACGACACUCUCCUCUCCUUAGAUAACGUUAAGAGAUGUCGUUCGGAAGUGACAUCUCUAAUGCUAUACCGAGCGCACGGCGACUACAGAGAGAGGCAUUGUUACUUGUACCUAGUGGUACAAGGUGGUGGUCUCAAAGUCAAAGGUUGCUAUCUUUUAAGACCUGCUGUCCAUGUAUGCCGGCCUCCACCGUUGCCCCUCCUUAUCCGAUGCAAAUUAUAUAAAUAAGCCCCGGGGUCGACGCCAUAUUUUGGCUAUCCUCGGGCGCUUGGACACGUUUUGGCCCCUUUGACAUAUAACCAUGGUGUACAACAACAAUGCAUAGCGCAUCAGUAACGAUUUAAUCUCAAUGUUGAAUGAGCCAAUUCUUUUUAUUCCUUGCUUCAUUGUACAAUAUAUAAAAACAUUAUGCUUAUUGUACAUGUAUACCAAAUUAAUUUAAGAAACACUCGUUUAGAAGAUUCACCGUGAUUUAUAUAUUACAAUAUCUUUUCUUUGUUAUUACGAUAAAAUUGUACACAUUGAUCGCAUUUACAGUUUCCUCUAUCUCUCGAUAUUGUGUUUGUAUUAAUUAAAUUACUCAUCCAUUAUUUGGAAUGGCCAAAGUGAAUUGGAUACAUAUAAAAUAUUCAUUAUACAGUACUAUUUAUAAUGCAAACAACUACUCGCGCGCGCGCGGGGGAUGUCUUACGCGGUGGUACGGUUGGCACGACGUAAGAGAUGCCCGCACGACUGAACAAAUUAAAAAUUCCUCUAUAAGACACGUACAAAAUCUUCCGGUGAUAUAAAAUACAUUAGGAUUGAUUCUUACACAUGGGUAAACAACAUGUAACAAAACGAUUGCUUCUAAUAGGAAUAAAUAAACAAAAUGUUAAAAA